GUGCCAGCCGCCGCGGUAAUACGUAGGGGGCAAGCGUUGUCCGGAUUUACUGGGUGUAAAGGGUGCUCAGGCGGGUUUGUAAGUCAGAGGUGAAACUCCGAAGCUUAACUUCGGAACUGCCUUUGAUACUGCAUCCCUAGAGUUUGAGAGAGGCGAGUGGAAUAUCUGGUGUAGCAGUGAAAUGCGUAGAUAUCAGAUAGAACACCAAUGGCGAAGGCAGCUCGCUGGCUCAAUACUGACGCUAAAGCACGAAAGUGUGGGUAGCAAACAGGAUUAGAAACCCCUGUAGUCC
rnacentral:rRNA from 1 species